rnacentral:rRNA from 1 species
CCUACGGGGGGCAGCAGUGGGGAAUAUUGCACAAUGGGGGAAACCCUGAUGCAGCGACGCCGCGUGAGUGAAGAAGUAUUUCGGUAUGUAAAGCUCUAUCAGCAGGGAAGAAACCCACCCUUUGGGGUGGCUGACGGUACCUGACUAAGAAGCCCCGGCUAACUACGUGCCAGCAGCCGCGGUAAUACGUAGGGGGCAAGCGUUAUCCGGAUUUACUGGGUGUAAAGGGAGCGCAGACGGCUGUGCAAGUCUGGAGUGAAAGGCGGGGGCCCAACCCCCGGACUGCUCUGGAAACUGUAAAGCUG